GUGUGUGUGUGAAAUAUGUGAAACCUGCAAAAAAAUAAAAAUAGAUAGCAUAUAAUUUCAUGGCCCACAA
rnacentral:sRNA from 1 species